rnacentral:tRNA from 1 species
GUUAUUGUACUGUAGUGGUUAUCACAUUUGCUUAAUAUACGAAAGGUCCCCAGCUUGAAACUGGGCAGAAACA